GUGAGGAAUAUUGCGCAAUGGAGGCAACUCUGACGCAGCCAUGCCGCGUGCAGGAAGAAGGCGCUACGCGUUGUAAACUGCUUUUAACCGGGAAGAAACCCCAGGACGUGUCCUGGGUUGACGGUACCGGAGGAAUAAGCACCGGCUAACUUCGUGCCAGCAGCCGCGGUAAUACGAAGGGUGCAAGCGUUAUCCGGAUUCAUUGGGUUUAAAGGGUGCGUAGGCGGUGCGUUAAGUCAGUGGUGAAAUCCUGCAGCUUAACUGUAGACUUGCCAUUGAUACUGGCGCUCUUGAGUGCGCUUGAAGUGGGCGGAAUGUGCCGUGUAGCGGUGAAAUGCUUAGAUAUGGCACAGAACACCAAUUGCGAAGGCAGCUCACUAAGGCGAUACUGACGCUGAGGCACGAAAGCGUGGGGAUCGAACAGGAUUAGAAACCCCGGUAGUCC
rnacentral:rRNA from 1 species